UACGGUAGAAUUAGGUUAUAGGGACAUAUUUUUGGAACACUUUUAUAUAAGUGUCAUAUUUAUGUCUAGAUUUUUUAAAAAGUUCUAUAUUUAAGGUCUAAAUAUAAACCCCAAUCCAAUAAAAAACAGAAAGUUCUUCUACUCAACUAAUUCCACCUAGCCUAUUCGGUCCGAUUAUAAAUAAAAAAGAAAAAUUGAUCACCAUCUCUCCUUCACCUUCUCUGUCGCCGCAGUCGACGAGGUAGGGUUUCAGUGGCUAGAGUUCAGCUGUGAGGAUUUCGCAGGGACCGUAGAGGGCUAUGAUCGUCACGUAUCCCUCCGCCACAGGUCGCUGGAGUAAAUGCCAAAUAUCAAAGCGGCCCUACAUAUAGCGACCCCACUUCUUAGCCAGCAGCAUUUUUUUGACAUGUACCGAUAUUUAAAAACAUCGCUAUACACCGUUUUUGUUGUAGUGAAAUAGCAAAUUGUAACUUUUNUCACCAUCUCUCCUUCACCUUCUCUGUCGCCGCAGUCGACGAGGUAGGGUUUCAGUGGCUAGAGUUCAGCUGUGAGGAUUUCGCAGGGACCGUAGAGGAUGAUCGUCACGUGUCCCCCCGCCAUAAGUUUUUGGAGGAGUGAGUGUCAAACAUCAAGGCGGUCCUACACAUAGCGAUCCCAAUUCUUAGCCAGCAGCAUUUUUUUGACAUGUACCGAUAUUUAAAAACAUCGCUAUACACCGUUUUUGUUGU
rnacentral:lncRNA from 1 species